AAGAGGACGGCAUUGAUUGCCUUGCGUAUUGCUCGGUUCAAUUCAAUCUAUGACUGAGCAAGCUCUAGAUCGGAGGGAGCCUUCUCGUUAUAUCGGAUUUUGAUUGAUCAAAUUUUGAAAUCAUCUACGGCGCCGUUGCCACGGAGGACGCUCGGUGCCGUCCCACGGCAGUGGCGCUAGGGAGGACCGACUCCAAGCAGCCGGCGGAUCCCAGUAGGUACAUCACCGGUUGGGAGGGGGCGCUCGUGCGGUUUGCCCGAUCCUCGAAGCGCCCGGGGAGGUGGAGGUGGUGGCCAAGUCGGCGCACAGCACGCUAUACCAUGCCGGGGUUGCUCUGCUCCGGUUCAUGUGCUCCGCCUUUGCUGAGGAGGCUGCAGGGUCCUUACACCACCCAAACCUCGUGGUGAUCUGCGCGCUUUACAUCAGCCGACGUGAGAAGAAGCUUCUCGCGCACACGUUCUACACCGCCGGCUCGCUCCGCCGCUUCUUGCAAGGCUUGCAGCAUAUGGAGGUGGUUGCUUGUUCAAAUUUCUGGCACUCGAAUUACUAUUGAUAAUGUUUCCAUGUGUGUUAAGUCACCAUUCUAUUGCCACCCUGCAUAUUUGAGUACCGGAAUAUCUAUGGCCUAAGCCGGUCAAAUUUGGUUGUGCUACAUCCAGCAGCGAUGCCCCUCUCCUCCCCAUCCAUUUUGCUUAGCUUCAUCCGGUUGAAUUUCCAUGCAACAAAAGGAUGGUGACAACCCGUUCACUUUACAAAGAAUGUACAUAGGAGCAGCAGGAGGAAAACAAAUCAAGCGGUUUCUGAUGAGUAGUAAAUACGUAUUUGAUACGGACUCCUUUUUAAAAGAGGUUGUAAAGGAAAGGGAAAGGAUACGAAAAUCUCCAAUAUACUCCAUCCCUAGCGGAACCUGUUCGUCCCCGAAACCGACCUUCUCAAGAGCAAUAGGACCUUGUCGAGGGAUUCAAAAAUCAAGGUAUGUGUAGGGAUAAAUCUUCAUCCAACCUUGUACACAGGGCACUCAUAUGGAAAAUUCAGACUGUUUAGGCUACAUUUUCCAUGUUCACUAAUAGGAGGCUGGAUUUGUUAUAAUUUAGAAUCAGGCAUGCAACAUAUGUCUAAUUAUUUAUUCCGAUGCUUUUCAUCAACACUGUAAGGUUC